CCAUGCUCGGGUAAGGCCUCUGCUGGCUGGCGGAUUGGCUAGAAUAUUGUUCCAGAACCUACUGAGACUGUCCUAUGCACUUUAUGAUGUUGGGUCACACUCCUCGCCUCUCUUCACUAGAUGCCAGUAAGACCUCCGUUCCCCAUUGUGACAACCAAAACUGUCUCCAGACAUUGCCAAAAGUCUCCUGGGCGCCAAAAUUUCUCCCCCAUUGAAAACCAUUGCCUCAGAGGUCACCAAAGAAGCCAGAGUGGAGACUGCAGGGAGUAUGGGUUUGAAUGAACUUUGGCUGCUCUAUCAAGCAAGCUGACUGCUAAGGAAACAUCAGAAGCUUUGCCCGAGUGACUCAUCACCCAAAUCCAACAGAGCAUCCAAAUGACUGGUUGAACAGCCCUUGCACAGCAGAGGUUCACCAAGCGUUUGUUGAAUGAAUGAAGCACCAAGUGUAUGACUGACCACAGAGACUCACUAUUCAAGGGGGCAGUGUGAAUUGUCUCUGUCACAUGCAGCUCACAACCGUUGACUAAAAUACUUUGUGAAAAUCACCUGGAAAAUAGAAGGCCUGAAACCUGCUCAUAAGUAAUUUGCUGGACUGUGCACUCUCUAGAAGGCGAGGGAGAAUAAUGAUGAUGGAUUCACUACAGUGUUCUCUGGGCUAUGAUACUGGUAUACACACGGACUGCUCUGAAAACAAGGACAUUUACAGGCUGGUGGCACCAAGGAUGCCUACCUGGAGUACGAGUCAAUGAAGAUUGACAGAGGAGGACAAAGAAAUAAUCCAUACAUGGCAAGUGCAUAACAUGCAGACAAGCUCUUGGUGGACCACAGCCGGGAAUUAGAACAUCCACAGGAAACAAGUAAAGGCUCUCUGUGAGAUGUCUCCAGUGCUCUCCUUCCAAGAAACUGCCCAUUUCCAAAUUUAGCCUACCGGGGAGCCGUGAAAAGAGAGUGGAAUUCAGAGUCAGAAGACCCAGAGUAAUGACGACCAAAAGGAAGAACCGACAAGAGGUGCUAUUGUAGGAAAAAUAAGAAUUCAUGAGGAGUCCAUGAAAAUGGAGCUCAACUCAUCAUGUAUGAAGUCUGGGACGACCACCCCAUGGAUUACAGUAUUGUUGAAUGAGGACACAGUCAUAAGCUUAACCUCCAUGUAAAGGUAGGAGACCCAGUAAACCAGAUUGAACAAGCAGAAGGCGGUGGGGAAGAAGAUGCGUGCGUAGGAGUCCAUUUUGGCGAUCCGGAUGUGUAUCCUCCCGUGUCUCCAGGCUCCUGUUCGGCAGUCUUCAAAACAGCAGAAAAAGCUAGCGCAGUCCUUGCCGUCCAGACACUCGUACCCGUAUUCCUCAUCUCGCUCUUGUAGAUUAAGGAAUCCAAGUGCUCCCAUCUUGGCCACAAAAUCCAGUCUGCAGUGACAGCUGUUAGAGAGGGCCUGUCCUCACCGCCUCGCUCCUACUGGCAGGUUUGGUGGCCCAGUGAAGUCAUCCUACCUGUUUCCAAAUCACUGACAUCAAUCCACGGUGGUAACUGCACAAAUCAACAGCAUCAACCAUCAUCCUCAACUCUAAAUGAAAGGUACCGUGUAAUGCUUUUUACACCUAUUACCACAUUUAUUUCCUCAAA